AACCUAGCACACCUGCGGUGUGUACCUGCGGAAGGAUCAUUACAGAGUUACUACUCCAAACCCAUUGUGAACCUUACCUAUGUUCUGUUGCCUCGGCGGCGCGGUCAGCGCCCCUCUGGAAAGAGGACGAUGCCCUCCCGCCGGCAGCACCAAACUCUUGAAUUUUACAGCGGAUUACAGUUCUGAUUUAAAAACAAAAAACAAGUUAAAACUUUUAACAAUGGAUCUCAGAUCGGAAGA
rnacentral:misc_RNA from 1 species